GACGAACGCUGGCGGCGUGCCUAAUACAUGCAAGUAGAACGCUGAAGGAGGAGCUUGCUUCUCCGGAUGAGUUGCGAACGGGUGAGUAACGCGUAGGUAACCUGCCUGGUAGCGGGGGAUAACUAUUGGAAACGAUAGCUAAUACCGCAUAAGAGUAGAUGUUGCAUGACAUUUACUUAAAAGGUGCAAUUGCAUCACUACCAGAUGGACCUGCGUUGUAUUAGCUAGUUGGUGGGGUAACGGCUCACCAAGGCGACGAUACAUAGCCGACCUGAGAGGGUGAUCGGCCACACUGGGACUGAGACACGGCCCAGACUCCUACGGGAGGCAGCAGUAGGGAAUCUUCGGCAAUGGACGGAAGUCUGACCGAGCAACGCCGCGUGAGUGAAGAAGGUUUUCGGAUCGUAAAGCUCUGUUGUAAGAGAAGAACGAGUGUGAGAGUGGAAAGUUCACACUGUGACGGUAUCUUACCAGAAAGGGACGGCUAACUACGUGCCAGCAGCCGCGGUAAUACGUAGGUCCCGAGCGUUGUCCGGAUUUAUUGGGCGUAAAGCGAGCGCAGGCGGUUAGAUAAGUCUGAAGUUAAAGGCUGUGGCUUAACCAUAGUACGCUUUGGAAACUGUUUAACUUGAGUGCAAGAGGGGAGAGUGGAAUUCCAUGUGUAGCGGUGAAAUGCGUAGAUAUAUGGAGGAACACCGGUGGCGAAAGCGGCUCUCUGGCUUGUAACUGACGCUGAGGCUCGAAAGCGUGGGGAGCAAACAGG
rnacentral:rRNA from 1 species